UACAGCCAUAUCAUAUUGAAACACUGGUUCUCAUACAAUCACCAAAGUUAAGCAACAUCAUGCUUGUUCAGUACCUAGAUGGUUGACUGCUUGGGAAUACCAGGUGCUGUAAG